rnacentral:lncRNA from 1 species
GGGAAUUACAUUACAAGAGUUUAUAAAAGUAGUACAAAGUUUCAAACUUAGAGAAAACAAUACAAACUGUUUAAGCUAUGAAUUUUAGCAGCGGAAAACAUACGCGAUGAUCUACAGCACGUCGACUAGAUGGAUGUCAUGCUAAGCCUAGGCACGACAUCACUCGGUAUCAUCAAUGUUGGCCGAGGACGGAUUCCAUUCCACGGACCAACCUUCUGGGAGAGCACAGGGCCAUGGCAGGGAAGAGUAGGGUUUUCCAGACUUUACCUGCAAAACAUAUAGCUAGCAAGGCUGAGUAUACUAAUACUCAGCAAGGCUUACCCGGAAUUGGGUAUACUUUAGCCCGUAACUAGACUUAUGAAGGCUUAUAAUAGCUCUGGGUUUAGUUUCAGCUGAAAAGCAACUAAGAGUAGAUCCUUAAUUUCAACUUUUAGCUCUCAGAUUCUAGUUGGUUAUCCAUUCUAGGUAAGCACCUGUAACUACUCAAGCAUGGUAAAAUCUUUGAUCAAGCAUCAUCUUUGAUAAUCAUAAGAUUGCUCUUAUUACUCAAUGUGACAAAGGAAUUAAGCAGUCUCAAACAUCGUGAGAAGCGGACGAUUCUGAAUCGAAUUUAACCUUGCAAGGUAAACCUAACUCACACGCUUGGAACACCACAGGGUCGUUCCGAAGCAACCGUUUGCCUUUCAUUCCGACUCGGGGACAGGUCCACCACAAGCGACUGCAGGACCAUACGCACUUCCAAAGUGCAGGACGUACGUCUGUAGCGCGACUACAAAACCCGUACUCCUGGUUGCCCUUGCAACACGUAUUCCCACACGUCGAACAUAAGUAACCAGAAGAAGCAAGACGAGUGAUGGGAGGUACGUCCACUCCUCGGGCCGAUUGGUUACUAGGCUUACCGCUUACCAUAUUUCGCGGCAUGUGGUUAGUACUUUCAAACGCUUAAUCCCGAUCACCACACGCUGCGACCUUAUCAAAUUGUAUUACACAAACGGGGUAUCACCUCAACCAUGAUACCUCACAAAACUCCCGUCCGGCAUCCUUAUAAUGAUAACAGAAUGUAAGUAUUACAACUCCUAUAUCGCGCGAGUGACAGGAAAUCACCCGACUUCUACCGGCCCUAUUAGCAUAGCAACUAGCCGGACUCAAGUACGAGUAUUCAUUACAUUGGUUCCUAGGAGAAUGCAACUAGGGUUUCAAGCAAUUUCCUAAGAACUUAAUGCAGAGAUAGAUAUAAUAAUAUAAAUUGCUGAGUAAAUAAAGUAGGGUUUAUGUCCGGGGCUUGCCUUUACUGGUGGGGCUGAAGUCAGAAAUGUCAAUAUCUUCCGAACUUUGGUUCGGGGCUUUAGUUAAUUCCUUGGUGACGUUUAUUUGGUCUUCAGGAACAUCCUCCGUAAACUCCAGGGAGAUCUCGUAGGUACCAUUGCCGAACGUAGUCGUAUCUACAUGCAAUGCAACAUUUCAUUCAAAGUGUGCACAUAACACUACCUUACUUCACAAUACAAUUGCAAUCUAGUAUUCAUAUAACACACUAUUCACCUAACAACCAAAAAGAUCUGAAACUAAACUUAGAUAGAGCUUUAAGAGGACAUCUAAUUAUGAUCGGCUACUAGUUGAAGAUUGCAACAAAGCCGAUUGGAAACAACGAGGGUUUAGCCGAUGGAAAGGUGCAUCGGGUUCCUAGAUGAUCGAUGAAAGCAUCGAUUACCUUGGCAGAAGGAUGAUUCCUAAAGCAAUGGUCUUAACUAAGAUGUGCUUAAGUGUUAUUCUAGGUAAAUAAGUGUGGUUGUAUCGACUCGAUUACGUCAGCACAACUAUUGAGUGACGUACAGCCGAUUGGGUAUGGUUGAGGGUAUAGAACCGAUAGAUAUGUAGCCGAUUUCUCAGUUGAUAAAUCGACUGAUAGAAGUGUAUAGAUAAGGGUGGGAAAACUAAGGAUCGAUCGGUCGUGUUUGACCGAUACGGAAUACGACUAGAAUCGGCUUGGAUCGGCCGAUAGUAAGAACCUUAAGAUCGUAUGUGCACCUCAAAUUGAUCGGCUACGUGGUAGCUGAUGUAGGACAGGACAACAGAAAUGUUACCGACAGUAGCCGAUACUAGAAAAGUAUCAACCGUAUCAUCUAACCAGCCGAUGGUAGAAGUAUCGACUGACAGCUGUUACACAGAGACAUCCUAGACUCAAGGGAAAAUGGAUGCUUAGCAGCUGAAUCAAAAGCUGAUGUUGAAACGCAGCUGCAGAGAUAUAUAAGCUAAGCAAUAGAUGCAUACGGAUUAACAUAGAUUUUUAUACAAAGAGAAUCUUAAGGAAACGGCAAUCAAGACAAGGAUAACGUCUUGACGGCAAGGAUAUGAGCACUAGGGUGAUAGGAUUAACUAACUGUCACACUUCUCCACUUAAAACAUACACCCUAUAAUUUAUAUUUCAGCUAUAACACAUGCAUACAAUAUAAGGUACAAACAAAGCAUUCAUUCCCUAACAUUUGACCUAGACCACACAUCAAAGACCUCAACUCAAGAUCAUAACAUAAAACUUAUAGGGUUUGACUUAGGGUUUCAAACGAAACUGAUUUUACAUCUUUAUGAACUUCCUACGAAAAUCUAUGAAAUGUAGAAGUUCAUCGAUUUGAAAUAAAGAAAACUCUGGAUACCUUACAGAAAACACCCUAGAACUUUUUAGAUUAAAGCAAUUAAGUCCCUGGUCGGGAAAACAGAUAACAGCAAGUUAACGAUGAUACUCCGGCAAAGGAAUUGCUGGCAUUAAGAAGAUUUGGUGGAUCAGGGUAAACCUUAGUUGUAGAGAAUAGCAGACGAAAAGUGAAUUCCCGUGGCGGACAAGAUUGGCGAAGAGAAGAGCUCGACGGUGACGAAGAGUAGAAGUUGCUGGAUGUCGUUGAUCGUGGAGUAAGACGAUGGAGCCGAAUGGGUUCGCUAUAUCGACUUCUCCACGAACCCUAGGGUUUUCCUACUCACGAGCUGAGCGGGCCACCAGUAGAAUGCUUCCGCUCGCGCUCGCGAACGCGCCGGUUCAGUUCCGCUCGGUCCUCUGGGUCCUGCAACUUCGCCGUCCCCUCCACUUGUUUUGACGCCCUCCGGUUUGACCUACCACCGCCGCCGGUCUUGCAUUGCACGUCAAACCCGUGUCGCGUUGCUCCCGCCUCGACUUCCGUAUAGAUGAAGGGAGCUCGUCAUGCCUAGCUGCACCGCAUCUCCUCCGAGCUCGUCACGCCCGACCACUACCUUCGCUCCGCGGCUUCUCUUUCCGAUUCGCCAUGCCAUUCUCACACCUUCGCUUUCGCGAGGACUGUGGUCUACCUGUAUUAGGGCCGUGCCUUCCGCUGUGUUUUCCUUGACGGCCUCUAAUGUCCAUCAUGCGCGACCCUCCUGCACAUCAACUCGGUCGCGGCCUGAGCUCGCCCAGCGAAAACACCGUCAUGCGCUGCACGCCGCCGCUCUGCACGUCGUUGCCCUGCAUAGCUCUUCCUCCUUCUUCCGUUGUUGGUCACGUGUUCGCUUCGGCCUUGCCGUGCCUUAGCUGUGCACUGCUCUGCUCUGCCUCGCACGCAUUGCUCCACCCGCGCGCUCGCAUCUGCCACAUCCUCACCGACUCCCUGUGUCCGCGCUUCAACUGAGCCGCCCUGCAUCGCCGGUUUCCCCCAUCUGGUUCACUCCCGUGCGUCUCCACGCGUGCUCGCGCCACCUGGGCCUACUCCUGCCCCG